rnacentral:rRNA from 1 species
UACAGAGGGUGCGAGCGUUGUCCGGAAUCACUGGGCGUAAAGGGCGCGUAGGUGGUUGGGUAAGCGUGUGGUGAAAGCCCGGGGCUCAACCCCGGGUCGGCCAUGCGAACUGCCCGACUGGAGCACGGUAGAGGCCAAUGGAAUUCCGGGGUGUAGCGGUGGAAUGCGUAGAGAUCCGGAAGAACACCGGUGGCGAAGGCGGUUGGCUGGGCCGUGGCUGACACUGAGGCGCGACAGCGUGGGGAGCAAACAGGG